GAGGCACGGUGGCACACAACCGAAAAAGAAGAAGAGCUAAGUGGGUGAACCCAAUAUGACAACAAUCGGAGAUGUCAGUUAGGAAGAGCCACCACGAUCAUCCCUUGCUUACAACGUCCAAAUAACCACCACCUCUAUUCGGGCAAUUGUUGGUCCAAUGUCGGCGGCCAACGGACCAGCUACUAGCAGCGGAAGUCGACGAAGCGUGAGAGAAGCAGUCAAGAAGCGCUUCAUGUCCGCGCGUCCAGUGCUGACGAUCAUCAACUGGUACAACCAGUUCUGGGGGGACUCGGAUGAUGACGAAGCUGAAUGUCCGCACCUUAUGGACAGCGACGAAGGCUUCGUCAACUGGUUCUGCUUGCCGUUCGCGAAUGACCCUCGACGAACCAGGCUAGUACAACAAGCAACUCAGCAGCACGCUUUCGUUUUCAACAACGCACUCAGCGUCGCACAGGAAUGAACAAUACGUUGCCAACGACGAGGCGACGUUGCCAAUAUGAGCAAUAUUAAAAAGUCUCUUGGAAGUUGUUCUCUUGGAA